CCAAGACUGAAAGAGCGAGCAGUAUUAAGCCUAAACAUCAAAGACAACUUUAGCUAUUUACGGGAUCCACUUUGAGGAAUCGAACCCCCGGAUUUUAGCGUUAUAAGUCCGAAAACUUACUACUGUCCCACCGGGGGAUCCUACUUUAAGCGUGCUGUCUGCCCGAAGCCUUCUUGCCAAACCAGUGGGAGGGGAGCUGUUCUAGUUUCGCUGUAUUAGAACG